rnacentral:rRNA from 1 species
UGAGUAACACGUAUGCAAUCCACCUGUAACAGGGGAGUAACCCGGAGAAAUCCGGACUAAUACCCAUAAUAUGGGCGCUCCGCAUGGAGAGUCCAUUAAAGAGAGCAAUCUUGGUUACAGACGAGCAUGCGCUCCAUUAGCCAGUUGGCGGGGUAACGGCCCACCAAGGCGACGAUGGAUAGGGGUUCUGAGAGGAAGGUCCCCCACAUUGGAACUGAGACACGGUCCAA